rnacentral:ncRNA from 1 species
UAUUAUGCGAUGAUGAGAAGAGUAAAUAGAUUAAUUUCUUUAUAGAGAGCUCCGGCAGCUGAAAAGGAGUAAGGAAUAUUUAUUGAAACAAGCCUCUGAGCCUCAUACCGAUUCUUAUAUAGAAAAGGCUAUGACAGGAGCUCCUGUUACAGAGCUAGGGUAUAAGCAUUUAUAAAAUGUCGUACCUGAAAGGUCAAUAUGGCAACAUGUUGAUGAACUGGGGUGGCACCACGGAGAUAUAACUCUCGUCCCCAAG